AAAACAGGCCCACAAAACUCUGGUGGAUGUCCCCCUCUGCUAUCAGCCAACCCCCUUCGUCUGACUUAACAGGACACCCUCACCCCUAAGAAAACCCCAGGCAUUUGAAAGACGAUGGAGGCAUGGAUUCCGAGACUCUGGACAAAAUUUUAUGCCCGCACAGCAACUCGACUGACUGGCUUCAGGGUGCAACUCCCUGCUGCGAACUCUUGUUUGUUCAAGCUGGUCAGUGAGUGCGGAGUGAAUCCAUUUUGCAACCAUUAUUGUGACCCAGAUUUGAUAAACUAUUCCUGCCCUUUCAAUAAUAAUGGGUCCCUUGGCUGGUUUGUGCUGUGUGAGGAGACAGAGGGUGUCUUGUUAGAAAUCAUUUGCUCCCCUUCAAACACCCCAAUGUUUUUUUUUUUUUUUUUAAACCAUGAAAAGGACUUUGCUGACUGCGCUGGGUGUGCAGGCAGGCCCUGGGCACUGAAUGUUCCCUUGCCAUCUGAGCUAUAAACAAAUAACAAAUUAUGCAACAAAGCCUCUCAAGGUUUUGCUUUUCUGUUUCCAGGCCCCGGGUGCUCUUUCUCACACCAUGGGCAGCUCGGGAAGAAAACGGAAAAAGCUUUCUGCUGGAAACGCAUCAAGAGCAGAAACUAGGCCACUCGGUGCCAGUGAUUCCCCGGGGCUUCUGGCUGCUGUGGAAGCUUCCACGUAGCUCAUUUCAGAACCAGUUCUUGGUGUUCAGAGCUAGGCUGCUAAGGCCUGUGUAGAUGGCGAAGGGCAUUGUGGGAACUGAACAGCAUCAUGGGAACCAGAGGCCAUUGCAGGCGGCUUUCUGAGCAAGCAGGAGAAAGCUCAGAGCAGGUUCCCCCUGAGCACAAAACAGAGAUUGGGAGAUAUCAAUGAAGAGCAAAUAAAGCAACAGCCAACAAUGCAGAUCCUGACCUUACAAAGACUGCACAAGGACUAUGUAUACUCCAACCAUGCCAGAGCUCCAGCACACAGAGAAAAAUGCCCAAGCAAACCACCACGUUUGGUUAAAACAAGAGCUGGCACUUCUUGAAGUUGGGAACCCUGGGAUAGAUUGUGAAGAUGACCGAGUCUCCACUGGUCUGACUCCCGGGAAGCAACAUAGCCCCAUACCAUAUACGAGGGAAUAAAUAUCCACUGCUUCAAACCAG